rnacentral:rRNA from 1 species
AUGCACGCUGGCGGCGUGCCUAAUCCCUGCCAGUCGAGCGAACAGACGAGGAGCUUGCUCCUCUGACGUUAGCGGCGGACGGGUGAGUAACCCGUGGAUAACCUACCUAUAAGACUGGGAUAACUUCGGGAAACCGGAGCUAAUACCGGAUAAUAUAUUGAACCGCAUGGUUCAAUAGUGAAAGACGGUUUUGCUGUCACUUAUAGAUGGAUCCGCGCCGCAUUAGCUAGUUGGUAAGGUAACGGCUUACCAAGGCAACGAUGCGUAGCCGACCUGAGAGGGUGAUCGGCCACACUGGAACUGAGACACGGUCCAGACUCCUACGGGAGGCAGCAGUAGGGAAUCUUCCGCAAUGGGCGAAAGCUUGACGGAGCAACGCCGCGUGAGUGAUGAAGGUCUUCGGAUCGUAAAACUCUGUUAUUAGGGAAGAACAAAUGUGUAAGUAACUAUGCACGUCUUGACGGUACCUAAUCAGAAAGCCACGGCUAACUACGUG